rnacentral:rRNA from 1 species
GAUGAACGCUAGCGGCAGGCCUAACACAUGCAAGUCGAGGGGUAGAACACUUCGGUGUUUGAGACCGGCGCACGGGUGCGUAACGCGUAUGCAAUCUACCUUGUACAGGGGAAUAGCCCAGAGAAAUUUGGAUUAAUGCCCCAUAGUAUAUAACCUUCGCAUGUUGGUUAUAUUAAAGUUCCAACGGUACAAGAUGAGCAUGCGUCCCAUUAGUUAGUUGGUAAGGUAACGGCUUACCAAGACGAUGAUGGGUAGGGGUCCUGAGAGGGAGAUCCCCCACACUGGUACUGAGACACGGACCAGACUCCUACGGGAGGCAGCAGUGAGGAAUAUUGGUCAAUGGUCGCAAGACUGAACCAGCCAUGCCGCGUGCAGGAAGACGGUCCUAUGGAUUGUAAACUGCUUUUAUACAGGAAGAAACCCCUCCCACGUGUGGGAGCUUGACGGUACUGUAGGAAUAAGGAUCGGCUAACUCCGUG